rnacentral:lncRNA from 11 species
GAAGACCUCCGAGAAAAACCGAGAAGGGAGGAGGAGGAGAGAGGGUGAGGCGGGGGGGGCUCCGCGGGGCCUUCCUCGCAUUGGGGGGAGGGGAGAGGGGCGGGAGGAGGGGGCCUGAACGGCAACCGGGGCCCUCCAUGGGCCCUGAGGGGGGGGAGAUUGAGGGGGAGAGGGCAGAGAGCGACGUGAGGCCCGCACGCCUCCCAGCGCGGCCUCCUCCAUCCCGCGCCCAGCAAGGAAUCGGCCUCCCUGCCUUCCUUCCUUCAGCUCUGAGGCGAGAGUAAGAUCUGAAAGACCCUAUUACUACCAGCUGCUCCAACUCAUUUUCUUCCUGCCCAAGAUGAUGACCUACAAGUCCUAUUCUUCCAGUGGCACUCGUUUAUCACAUUCUUAUUGAGGACAACUGGUAAGAUGACAUGAGUAUCCUAAC